rnacentral:tRNA from 1 species
UUAAUUCAAAUAUUUGGCAGACUAUUGCAUAAGACUUAGAAUCUUUCUAUCCUAUA